rnacentral:rRNA from 1 species
UGGCUCAGAUUGAACGCUGGCGGCAGGCCUAACACAUGCAAGUCGAACGGUAACAGGAAGCAGCUUGCUGCUUUGCUGACGAGUGGCGGACGGGUGAGUAAUGUCUGGGAAACUGCCUGAUGGAGGGGGAUAACUACUGGAAACGGUGGCUAAUACCGCAUAACGUCGCAAGACCAAAGAGGGGGACCUUCGGGCCUCUUGCCAUCAGAUGUGCCCAGAUGGGAUUAGCUAGUUGGUGAGGUAACGGCUCACCAAGGCGACGAUCCCUAGCUGGUCUGAGAGGAUGACCAGCCACACUGGAACUGAGACACGGUCCAGACUCCUACGGGAGGCAGCAGUGGGGAAUAUUGCACAAUGGGCGCAAGCCUGAUGCAGCCAUGCCGCGUGUAUGAAGAAGGCCUUCGGGUUGUAAAGUACUUUCAGCGGGGAGGAAGGUGUUGUGGUUAAUAACCGCAGCAAUUGACGUUACCCGCAGAAGAAGCACCGGCUAACUCCGUGCCAGCAGCCGCGGUAAUACGGAGGGUGCAAGCGUUAAUCGGAAUUACUGGGCGUAAAGCGCACGCAGGCGGUCUGUCAAGUCGGAUGUGAAAUCCCCGGGCUCAACCUGGGAACUGCAUUCGAAACUGGCAGGCUUGAGUCUUGUAGAGGGGGGUAGAAUUCCAGGUGUAGCGGUGAAAUGCGUAGAGAUCUGGAGGAAUACCGGUGGCGAAGGCGGCCCCCUGGACAAAGACUGACGCUCAGGUGCGAAAGCGUGGGGAGCAAACAGGAUUAGAUACCCUGGUAGUCCACGCCGUAAACGAUGUCUACUUGGAGGCUGUGCCCUUGAGGCGUGGCUUCCGGAGCUAACGCGUUAAGUAGACCGCCUGGGGAGUACGGCCGCAAGGUUAAAACUCAAAUGAAUUGACGGGGGCCCGCACAAGCGGUGGAGCAUGUGGUUUAAUUCGAUGCAACGCGAAGAACCUUACCUGGUCUUGACAUCCACAGAAGUUUGCAGAGAUGCGAAUGUGCCUUCGGGAACUGUGAGACAGGUGCUGCAUGGCUGUCGUCAGCUCGUGUUGUGAAAUGUUGGGUUAAGUCCCGCAACGAGCGCAAC